GGACAAAUGACUGACCAUGCUAUCCUCAGACCUCUACCAGAAGAAUCUACUGGGCAUCGUUGUCGAUGAGGUUCACGUCACCUACAAAUGGAAUGAAAGGCCUUCCUGCUCAGUUGGGAGAACGUCACAGCAAAGAAGACAUGCCUGUCAUGGCUUAAAUGGCAUCUGCAGUCACAGAAGAUGGGACACAGAGAGCUGCUACAUAUGGAGAGAGUGCCAUUCAACAGUGAGCCCACCCAACAGGACAGUUUGCACUAGGUUGGAUCACAGCUUAUUGAAGAAACAUGAGAAGAGCAUUAGUCCCUAUAUCUUUGAUCGAACAUAUAAUAGUACAUAACCAACAACCUUCCUGUUUUCAAAGUGUUGCAUGUGCAGGGAAUCCCAGGUUAUGUUGAUUAAAAGGAUGAGUAUUUUGACAGUGAAACACCACAGCGUAGUAGCUGGCAGUGCUUUGCCGCAACCUCGUACAUGCUGUUGUACAAAUGUGUAUGAAUGACUGUUUUUGCAUAGAAGAACUGUAAAUAAAAUUACACAUUUGAAAACUGUUGCCAUGUUUUUUUCUUUGAGCAGCAAUGAUUAAAAAAAUGUAAAGAAGGAAGAAGUAUUGUAGACUGUUUAGUGUUGAGCACAGUUUAAUUUACUUCAAGUGACAACAUACCUUAACCUUUUUUAUAUGCAUUCACAGAAAGGCAACAGAAUCUUAUGGAAAAAAAGUUGCACUGGGUUAUUUUAUAUACACUACUUACAUACACAAAUUAUUUACAUACAUUAUUACAGUACAUGCAUUUACUCCACCAAUUUUAUAUUAGUCUUGGCGCUCUUUCAAUUUAGCUUUGAUCCUGCGCCACAGGUUACUGCUUUUGCGAUUUAUCAGAAUGUCAUGACUAGAUGGGGGAAUGAA